AGAGUCUUUAAAAUCAUUCAUAAGCCCUAUUAAGAAAAAGAGGAAAGAAACAGAGUUCGUCAAUUUGCUUAACAGAUUCCAUCCACGGCGCUUAUCGGAUCCGGCUUAGCUAGCGAGGUAGGGUUACGAGUCCACUUGGUUCCAACAUCGUACUUCGUACAGCAUGCUGUUCCGUUGGCAAGUGUACUCCACUUUCAAGGCAAUUGAGAAUAGAGAUCAGAAUGAACAACAUAAAUGGCUUGUUUACUGGGCAGCUUAUGGUUCUUUCAGCCUUGUUGAAGUGUUCACGGACAAACUCAUUUCCUGGUUUCCUCGUCUGGCUUCAACUUCCCACCGUAGAUGGAGCGCGAAACAAAUAUACAACAACCACCUUCGCCCUUUCCUAACACGACACCAAGCUGGACUCGUGAAUGAAGUAUAUGAGCAAACGGUACAUUGUUUCUUCCUUCAAAACUCAAACACUCUUGAAACACACAACAUUUGCAGGUCAAGGUCAUUAGAUCACACCAAGGAGAGAUUCGUUUUGUGCGAUCAAUGAUUGUCAGAAUCUUGGGAUCAGUCAAUGAAGUUGCAUCACCAAGCCAACAACAAGGAUAAAUCUCAAACACUAGCCCUGAACCAGAAUCUGAAUCUGAAUCCGAUCAUGAAGACUAAUUGAACAACAAAUGUAGUCACAGAUUUGCAGCUUUUAUGUCAAACGAUUGUAAUGGUCAUGUAAAUCUCGAAUUACUUUUAGAGUGGUAAACAAAUUAAGUUGUUGAACCCUAUAAUCCGUUAUAAAGCAGCUCCUUGCCUGGUUCAGAGAACUUGUGCCUCUUGGAAUUCCAAGGAAGUUAGCAGAUUCUUGAUGAUUUUUCAGUCAGGCACUUCUUUCAGAAUUUGGAGACUUCUUUGAGAAUGAUGCGUUGUCUUUUGGGGAGGUGAAACAACUCCAUAGUGUUCUGAAUGAUACUUGGCUUUGCUCAGAGAUACCUAGACUGUGAGGGUGGUGAAUGUACCUAAACGCCUAUAAUGGUUUUUCUCAGCUAUAUAAUAUGAAUGUACCUAAACGUAAAUAAAGGAAACAUGACAAUAUUGUCUCUCCUAAUACAAGGUCUUGCUUGCAUGCAUGCAUGCUGGUCAUAGUGGAGCUCAUGGGAAUACACCAACCAUCACAGCCUAUUGCCGCUCCUUCAACUACAUAUCAGAUCUUUACCCACACCCACUCAUCAGUUUUCAACAUCUGCGUAUGAGAGAGAGAAUUAUGUUUUUCCAUUGACAAUUUAGAUGAAAUUAA